GGGAUUCGAGUAGGCCUCUGGGUCCACCUCCCACCCGUGUUUAUUUUACCUUGUUGCUUCGGCGGGCCCGCCUUAACUGGCCGCCGGGGGGCUUACGCCCCCGGGCCCGCGCCCGCCGAAGACACCCUCGAACUCUGUCUGAAGAUUGUAGUCUGAGUGAAAAUAUAAAUUAUUUAAAACUUUCAACAACGGAUCUCUUGGUUCCGGCAUCGAUGAAGAACGCAGCGAAAUGCGAUACGUAAUGUGAAUUGCAAAUUCAGUGAAUCAUCGAGUCUUUGAACGCACAUUGCGCCCCCUGGUAUUCCGGGGGGCAUGCCUGUCCGAGCGUCAUUUCUGCCCUCAAGCACGGCUUGUGUGUUGGGCCCCGUCCUCCGAUCCCGGGGGACGGGCCCGAAAGGCAGCGGCGGCACCGCGUCCGGUCCUCGAGCGUAUGGGGCUUUGUCACCCGCUCUGUAGGCCCGGCCGGCGCUUGCCGAUCAACCCAAAUUUUUAUCCAGGUUGACCUCGGAUCACGUAGGGAUACCCGCUGAACUUAAGCAUAUCAAUAAGCGGAGGAAGGGCCGGGCACUCCGCCCUCGAAGCAACAGCGCAACCCGAAAAAAUACACAAACCAGGCAAGCCAAAGAAUGCAGGACGACCGGGGAAAUCCCAGAAAUCCAGAAAAUAUUGUAGGAUUACGAUGGAACAUCAUUGGUUAAAGUGAACACUCUAGAUGAUAUUGAUACUGAAUUGCGAAAAUAGAGAAACAAACACGAUUAGACACCUUGUAAUCCAUUUAUAACCUGUAUCACUAUUGUUUCGGAAUUCAACUUUUCCCCUAAAACACACUUUUAAGUACACC
rnacentral:rRNA from 1 species